UGCACCAGUAUGACUGGUGUCCUGACAAAAAGGGGAAAUCUGGCCACCGAGACACGCAGGGAGAGAGCCGCAUGAUGGUGCAGGCAAAGGUCAGUGAUAUUGUUGUGACACGGGGAACUUCAAGGACCUGCAGCAAACACGGAAGCCUGGGGAGGCUGGACAGAUACUUUCCCAGCCUGGGAAGGACCAGCUGCUACCCCCUGAAGCACAGGUUUCAGCCCCCAGAUUGUGAGAGAGAAAUGCCUAUGGUAUGAGCUAGGCAUGGGGACACACACCUGUAACUCCUACAUUCUGGAAGGCUGAGGCAGAAGGAUUGCAAGCAAGACCGUAUCUCAAAAAAUAAAGAUAAAAAUACAGUGUUAGGAAUGUAGUUUAGUGUGAAGAUAUUGGGUUCAAUGCCCAGUGCUGAAAAAAAAAAAAAGUCUGUGGUUUAGGCCCCAAUCUGCAAAUCUGCAAUUUAUUUUUAUGGUGGUUACAGGAUGUUACACUAUAUAACACCAGGUCUGUCCGACAAACAAGACCCUGUGCAUGCCAGGGCCACAGGAUGGGGACACCCCUUCCUGCCCUCUAGGACUAGCAGGAGUCCUGCCACAGACCCAGCGGAGGAUGUGCUGGGGCCUGGAUACCCCUACAGGGUGCUGUGGGGGCCAAAAGCAGUCUCCCUUGCCCAGGCUCCUGCCCCUUUCCUUUUCAGCGGAUGACUUUCCCACCUCCCGCUUCUCAGAGGAUGCAGAAACCACGGCCCUGAGUGUCCUCGGUUCACGUCCAGUGUCUCUCCUGCCUACGUUUACCCCAGGUCUCCCUGCACCCUGGAGGAGCAACAAGAGGCUGAAAUGGACCCUCUCCAGAGGCCUCUACGCUGUGCAGCCUGGAGCACAUGGAGGUGAGCUCUUCACAGAGCAGUGGGGUUCAUAGUAGGAACUUCUUCAGGGAGGCUGGGGUCAGAGCCACAUGCCUAAGGACAGGUGGGCAAUGAGAUAGGAGAAGGGGGGUGAGGUAAG
rnacentral:lncRNA from 1 species